rnacentral:rRNA from 1 species
AUUGAACGCUAGCGGGAUGCCUUACACAUGCAAGUCGAACGGAGUGGCGAACGGGUGAGUAAUGUAUCGGAACGUGCCCAGUAGCGGGGGAUAACUACGCGACAGCGUAGCUAAUACCGCCUACUAUUGGCGCGGCCGAUAUCGGAUUAGCUUGUUGGUGGGGUAACGGCUCACCACGGCGACGAUCCGUAGCUGGUUUGAGAGGACGACCAGGCACACUUGUACUGAGAAACGGCCCAGAGUCCUACGGACGGCAGCAGUGGGGAAUUUUGGACAAUGGGGGAAAACCUGAUCCAGCCAGCCCGCGUGUGCGAGGAAGGCCUUCGGGUUGUAAAGCACUUUUGGCAGGAAAGCGGUACCUGCAGAAUAAGCACCGGCUAACUACGUGCCAGCAGCCGCGGUAAUUC